GCCAGUGUGGUGUAGUGGUUUAAGUGUUAGAUUAUUACUCUGGAGACCAGGGUUUGAAUCUCCACUUGGCCA